UACGUAGGCAGCGAGCGUUGUUCGGAGUUACUGGGCGUAAAGGGUGUGUAGGCGGUUCUUUAAGUUUGGUGUGAAAUCUCCCGGCUCAACUGGGAGGGUGCGCCGAAUACUGAGGGACUAGGGUACGGAAGAGGGAAGCGGAAUUUCUGGUGUAGCGGUGAAAUGCGUAGAUAUCAGAAGGAACAUCAGUGGCGAAAGCGGCUUCCUGGUCCAGUACCGACGUUCAGGCACGAAAGCGUGGGGAGCAAACAGG
rnacentral:rRNA from 1 species